UUAAAGAUCUCUUGUAUUUCAACAAAAAGCGAUCAGUUUUAUCGUCACAGUUCUCCGAAAUUUCAAGGCAUUCAUUGCCAUUUCCAUAACUCCUAUUAUCAGGCAUGCCUUCAGGAUACAAAUUAGCUAAAUCCAUACAAGAACAGCACGAAUCCUCAGCAAAAACUGAAGGCCUUGAGGCUUUCUUUCUAUGUCAUUUUCUUGACAACAGCUGUCACUAAGACUAUUAUCUGAAGUAGAACCAGAAUUACAAGCCUUCAAGCCUUCUGAUGAUGUAGAACCAUGAUUACUUGCCUUACAGAUAUAGCAUUCACAUUCUAUAUCAUGUGA
rnacentral:lncRNA from 1 species